CCUCCCUAUUUCUUCCUCAAUCUCUACGAAGUGCUGACGUCGGAAGACAAUCCAAGCUACAUAUGUACAGAAAGUGAAAAAGGACUACAACAGAAAAGAGACAAGAAUCACAACCCACAGCCAGAUGAAAAGCUCCCACCUGUCUUUAGAACACUGCUAAGUAGACGUAAACCCAGAGGACCCAAUUUCUCAAAGUUCCUGAAAAGCUGUGGAAAAUUACACAUGUACUCACCUUUGCAGGAGUAAAAUCAGGCCAAAAAUUUAAGGUGUGGCAUGCAGCUUGUUAGCAUCCUUUUUAGAAAGAAUAUUCACUAAAAAUAAGUGCCUGACAAACAGCUAUUGGUGAUUGCUAUACGUCAUGUUUCACACCAAAGAGAGAAGCCCCCAAACGCCUUCCUCAGAGUAACUGACUCCUAGAAUUGGCCUCGGUAUCAAACGCUCCAGAACUGCCCUGAACUCCCAGGGUCUGGGAAACACGACUCAAAAUCCUCAGGACCUCCAGCCUUCUCACAGAGACUUCAUGGUCCGUAUGGGCCCAAACUAGCCCUCUAUUUGGGGGAACCAUUGAAGAGCCCAAAGCAAACCGGCACAGGCGCACUGCAGAAAUGAAACACAGAGGGUGGCGGGUUUCUUCAUCCCACUCGGAUUUGGCUCUGCAUAUGAAACGGAAAUGAGGCCAGGAAACGGAGGCAGAGAAUGAGGACAUUUGGGGACCUCACAGUUUAAAUCUGCAAAUUCAUAUCUUGAUGCACAUUUCAGUAUGGACCAGCACAUUCCAAGUGCUCAAUAGCCAACGUGGCAAACGGCUACCGUGCUGGUCAGCAGAGACGCUGUGCAUUCCACCUGUGAGGGCAGAAUCUGAAGGAAAGAGGGAAAAGCCAGCCUGGUGGUGAAUCCAGAGAUCUUCUGUGGCCUGACAGAAACAACCAAAAGAACAUUAAGAGCUCCAUUCAAGAACAUAAUCAACACCCGUGGUCAGUUAAGAACUUUUACAGGAGAAACAUGCUGUAGUCUGUUUUCCUCGAUAUCCUCUGUUCAGCUCUUUGACCUGCACGGAAUUUGCUGUGUGAAUGGUGGGUGGAGAGCUCCACACUGAUUCUUUUCCACACUGCCAUCCAACAGGCAGGUGGAAAGCAGGCGAUGUUGCGUCCAAUGGCCCAAAGACAACAUCUCCUGGAAAUGAGCUGGUGCGAAACUAAAGCAAUCACUUACUUUCAAACACCAUGAGUUCCUUUAAAAUUUGCAUAAAAAUUACAUUGUAAUGAAAAUGUACUGGUAAAAGUAUAAUAACUUAAGUGGAGGUUCUAUACCCAGGGAACUAAAAGAUACAAUAAUGUCUCUAAUUAUGAUAUAAUUAUUAAUAGUUUGAUCUUUUUAUCCUAAAAUUAGUUUGCAAUAUAUAUGUUUUUAAAGAUUAAACGUUAAGGGGGUCAGCCUGGUGGUGUAGCAGUUAAGUUUGCACGCUCCACUUCAGCAGCCCAGGAUUUGCAGUUCAGAUCCCGGUCAUGGACCUAGCUCUGCUCGUCAAGCCACUCUGUGGCGGCAUCCCACAUAAAAUAGAGGAAGAUUGGCACAGAUGUUAGCUCAGUGACAAUCUUCCUCACAAAAAAAAAGAUUAAACAUUAAGUAUGGGCAAUAAAAUUUCUUUUUUGAGUAGUUGUUUUUUUAACCUUGUAAUGGACCGAAUGUCUGUGUCCUCUGACCCCAAAUUCGUAUGUGGAGGUCCUAACAACUCCCAGUGUGAUGGUAUUUGGAGGUGUGGCCUUUGGGAGGUCAUUAGGUUUGAUGAGAUCAUGAGGGUAGGGUCCUCAUGAUGGGAUUUGUUCCUUU